rnacentral:rRNA from 1 species
ACGGACGCUUGCGGCGCGCCUAACCCAUGCAAGUCGAACGGAGCUGAGAGGAUCUUGCUUUUCUUAGCUUAGUGGCGAACGGGUGAGUAACGCGUUAGUAACCUGCCCUGGAGUGGGGGACAACAGUUGGAAACGACUGCUAAUACCGCAUAAGCCCACGAUCCGGCAUCGGAUUGAGGGAAAAGGAUUUAUUCGCUUCAGGAUGGACUCGCGUCCAAUUAGCUAGUUGGUGAGGUAACGGCCCACCAAGGCGACGAUUGGUAGCCGGACUGAGAGGUUGAACGGCCACAUUGGGACUGAGACACGGCCCAGACUCCUACGGGAGGCAGCAGUGGGGGAUAUUGCACAAUGGGGGAAACCCUGAUGCAGCGACGCCGCGUGGAGGAAGAAGGUUUUAGGAUUGUAAACUCCUGUCGUUAGGGACGAUAAUGACGGUACCUAAAAAGAAAGCCCCGGCUAACUACGUG